rnacentral:tRNA from 1 species
GGAGCAGUGGUGUAUGUGGUAUGCACGCUAGUCUGAAGAACUAGAGGUAUUCGUUCAACUCGAAUCUGUUCCA